rnacentral:rRNA from 1 species
CGGUGAAUACGUUCCCGGGUCUUGUACACACCGCCCGUCACACCAUGGGAGUCGGAAAUGCCCGAAGUCUGUGAACCCCAACCUUAGGGAGGGAGCAGCCGAAGGCAGGUCGGAUGACUGGGGUGAAGUCGUAACAAGGUAGC